rnacentral:rRNA from 1 species
CACCGCGGUUAUACGAGCGGUUCGAGCUGAUAGAUUACGGCGUAAAGCGUGGUUAAUAAGAAUGAAACUAAAGUCGAAUGUUUUCAAAGCUGUUAUACGCACUCGAAAAUUAGAAGGUCAGAAACGAAAGUGACUUUAACCCUAUGAACCCACGAAAACUAUGAAA